rnacentral:rRNA from 1 species
AUUGAACGCUGGCGGCAGGCCUAACACAUGCAAGUCGAGCGGAUGACGGGAGCUUGCUCCUUGAUUCAGCGGCGGACGGGUGAGUAAUGCCUAGGAAUCUGCCUGGUAGUGGGGGACAACGUUUCGAAAGGAACGCUAAUACCGCAUACGUCCUACGGGAGAAAGCAGGGGACCUUCGGACCUUGCGCUAUCAGAUGAGCCUAGGUCGGAUUAGCUAGUUGGUGAGGUAAUGGCUCACCAAGGCGACGAUCCGUAACUGGUCUGAGAGGAUGAUCAGGCACACUGGAACUGAGACACGGUCCAGACUCCUACGGGAGGCAGCAGUGGGGAAUAUUGGACAAUGGGCGAAAGCCUGAUCCAGCCAUGCCGCGUGUGUGAAGAAGGUCUUCGGAUUGUAAAGCACUUUAAGUUGGGAGGAAGGGCAGUAAGUUAAUACCUUGCUGUUUUGACGUUACCGACAGAAUAAGCACCGGCUAACUCUGUGCCAGCAGCCGCCGUAAGAC